UACGUAGGGGGCAAGCGUUGUCCGGAUUUAUUGGGCGUAAAGCGCUCGCAGGUGGUUCGUCGCGUCGUGCGUGAAAGACCCCGGCUCAACUGGGGGGCGUCGUGCGAUACGGGCGGACUGGAGGCCAGUAGGGGGAUGCGGAAUUCCGGGUGUAGUGGUGGAAUGCGUAGAGAUCCGGAGGAACACCAGCGGCGAAGGCGGCAUCCUGGGCUGGUCCUGACACUCAUGAGCGAAAGCGUGGGGAGCGAUCCGG
rnacentral:rRNA from 1 species